rnacentral:rRNA from 1 species
AUUGAACGCUGGCGGCAUGCCUUACACAUGCAAGUCGAACGGCAGCACGGGUGCUUGCACCUGGUGGCGAGUGGCGAACGGGUGAGUAAUAUAUCGGAACGUACCUUAUUGUGGGGGAUAACGCAGCGAAAGCUGUGCUAAUACCGCAUAAUCCCUAAGGGGGAAAGCGGGGGACCGUAAGGCCUCGCGCAAUUAGAGCGGCCGAUACCUGAUUAGCUAGUUGGUGAGGUAAAGGCUCACCAAGGCAACGAUCAGUAGCUGGUCUGAGAGGACGAUCGGCCACACUGGGACUGGGACACGGCCCAGACUCCUACGGGAGGCAGCAGUGGGGAAUUUUGGACAAUGGGGGCAACCCUGAUCCAGCAAUGCCGCGUGAGUGAAGAAGGCCUUCGGGUUGUAAAGCUCUUUUGUCAGGGAAGAAACAGCAGCUCUAACACAGUAUGCGAAUGACGGUACCUGAAGAAUAAGCACCGGCUAACUACGUGCCAGCCGCCGCGGUAA